CCUUUAUGCAGACUUUAUUCAGAUUUAAUUGACUACUUAUUAUGCUCUUAAAUGUCUGACACUAAAAUGCCUUCAGAGCUUAGAUGAACCAAAUUAACAUUAGAAGUUGCAAAGGUGACUGAAGAAAAUACAUUGCAUUUGACUGCAUAAAAUGUCUUUUUUAAAAGUUGCUAUACUGGUUUUAAUAAUACAGGUCAGCAGCUGCCAGUGAGAAACACAUGUCCAUCCUUUUUCCUACACUUUACACUCUGUACGCUGUUGGUGGACUGUGCCAUUUCUUUUUUUUUUUUUUUUUUCUCGCCAGAAUGACUUUACUUCAAUCUGUACAUGUCUAAGUAGAAAUUGAAUCAAUUAGGCUUGAGUUGGCAGUAUAAAAGUGAAAAAUAAUAAAAAGAAUGUUUUUGUGAAGCAGAAGUUUGCUUUUCUCUGUCAUACAUACACACACAAAUCAGAGAGAAGAAUACAAGGUCAGGGUGGUAGCUCUAUGCCCAUGAGUAACUAAAUCUUUUAACUGUCCACUAUCUUGAGCGACAUAAGACUCAAACUCAAGACUGCUUCUUCAUAAGAUAAUUGUCUAUAUACUUGGCAGAAAAUAAAGAGAUCAUAAAAAUAGUGCUCUCUCAGCUGAGUCAGAGAAUAUUUAAAUAAUGUUACAAUAAGACUCCUCCUAGCUGCAAUGGACACUGGGAAAAAAAGCCGUUAAUUUUGCCAUUUGUCUGUCUGAAAUAAAUGGAGCCCUGGAGAUGCAUUUUUAAAGAAGAGGAGAAUGGGGUAUUUCUUAGGCAACUUGUAGUCUCUGCCACAGCAUCUGUGCACACACUUCUGCUUCAUGGAAUUCCUAUACCUAAUUCUCCAGGUAUAGAUAUUGAGAGUCUCUCAAGGAUUUCACAGCUACAGUGGUCUAUGAAGGGUUUGCUUUUCAUUUUUGUUCGAAGUAAUCUGUAGCUUCUCUAAGCUAAAAAGAUCGUAACUAUACCAUCUUGAAGUUACCUAAAAAUUUGUGUCUGCCAUUAUCAGUGUCUGAGGACAUGAUAUAUCCCAUCCACUUUCUUUGGAAUGAUUUCAUAUUUCUGUUUUAAAGUGCAACAGAUACAAAAGUAUGAUGAAAUACUUACAAUACAUAUAAGUACUAUUUGGAGAUUCCACAGUGACUUCAAGUAGGACUUGUUGAUACAGUAGACAUAUUCACAGCGUAGUUCUAGACAGAACCAGAACAAAAAGGAGAAUAUGAGUUCUAUUUUCUUGUUUUGUUUUGAGGGGCUUAAUACCUCAGAAUCUCAAAAUCUAACAGUUUUAACUUGGGAUAUUGGACACUGUUAUGCUGUUGCUAACCCCUACUAUAGCCAAUAAAUGGCUAGACAUCAAUCACUACAAGAAGAGUAAAGUGGUACAAGUGUCUGACAAAUGAAAUGAUCAAAAGGCAGGCUGUGUUGCUAAGGAGAAAAAGAAACACAUGUAAAGGUAUAGAAGGAAGUGAGGACAUCUGAAUGCCACCUAAUAUGAGGAUUUUUCUAUGCUUCCUUUAUAUAUAAUAUAUUCUAUUUUUAAAUCCAUUUCUGAUUUCAAAUAGAACAGGAAACUCAGAAGUAUUGAAGCAAACCUAUUGCCAGUAUAAGCAACUGUCCAUUGUCUUAAUCAAAUUUUUUAUUCUGCCAGAAUCUAAAGAUUCAUAAGCCCAAAGCAUUGGCAUUUAGUUCCUAAACUGUAGAGUUUAAGGUUAGGAACUAAACUGACUCCUCACAUGUCAAUCCUAGAUGCCAUUGUCCUUUCCAGCAUAGCCAUUCAACCCUAAGGUAUAGCUAACAAUCAAGUAAAGCCUCAUUUUCUUAAUUGUGCUUUGCUUUUUCUCUAAGAGAUAUUUCUUUUCCUAGUAAGCAUAGAAGUAGAUCAUUCCUAUUAAUUUUAGCAGAAGAAAUUAUUUUCAUUCUAGCAUUCAAAAAUUUUAUAAAUGUCCUACAUUGUCCUCUUUUUCUUUGAAAAUCCUAUUUUCAUUCUACAAUUUUGCCUCUAAAACAUGCACCUCACCUGUAUAAUUUUUUUUUCCUUAGGCACUGUGCUUUUUGGAAAGGGAACAUAAGCAACUAAGUGUCUAGGCCACAAUGUCAUACUGGUUAAUGGUUUGAUACUGAUAGUACUCUUUGGAUAUUGACGAAGAUCAGAGUGUAGUGAAAUAAUAAUCAGCUUAUAUGUAAAUGUAACUUUCAUUUCAGAUUACAAUGUAUUAUAAACUAAUAAGCAUUAAAUUCAGUGGAUAAUUUAGAGUUUAAAUGCAUAAGGAAUGCGUUUAUUUUUCUUUUAGUUUUAAAAAAGUACUUUUUAAAUUUGAAAUAAAAGGUAUUUUUACUUAUGUAAUCAACAUAAUGUUUCAUUAUAUGUAAAUAUGUAUAAUCCCCUUGAUACAUAUAGAAGAUAAACAUACAUAGUAUGAUCAAGUUACUGAUGUUACAUAUGAUAUAAUUAUGAAGCAUGAAUUGUUGCAGAUACAGUUCACAGAAUUCUAUAAAUUUUCUAGUAAGUAUGCAGUUGUAUAUCUGGUUUCAAAUAUAGCACAUUUUAAUAUCAAGUGAUAAUGACAUCAAAUGAAAAUAAUUUCACUGACCUGAGCCCUCUGCAGUAUUUCUAAUAGGAUAAAGAUUAAACUGAACUUUAAGAUAAUUUUAAUAGACUAAUAUAAUGCUUUGGGUGGUUCAUGAAAAAAAUAUUUUCUUAAUGAUGCCAUUACCCUACAUUCCUCCAAUCUCUUCCUCUUCGUGUUUAGCCUCCUCCUUGUGAAUCUGCCCAUGGCAAUCUGGAUUUAACCUCAAUAAGUCUCAUAAAACAGCUCCCUAAAGUUAGCAAUUAUGUUCAAAUUGAAAAAUCCUGUGAAAUUUUAUUUGAUUCCUGUUAUAGUUUUCAACAUUAUUUGACACACUUAGCUGCUGCAUUCACCUGGUUUUUCCUCCUCCCUCUUUUUUUUUUUUUUUUUCUUUUUAGGGCUGGACCUAGAGCAUUUGAAAGUUCUCAGGCUAGGAGUUGAAUCAGAGCUGUAGCUGCUGGCCUACACCAUAGCAACAGCAACAUGGGAUUUGAGCUGCACCUGUGACCUAACACCACAGCUCAGGGCAACACCUGAUUCUUAAACCACUGAGCAAGGCCAAGGAUUGAACCCACGUCCUCAUGGAGAAUAAUCAGGUUAGUUACCGCUGAGCCAUGGCAGGAUCUUCUCUUCUUCCCUUCUUGCUUCUUUUUGUCCUCCUUUUCAGUUUCCUCUGUAGGGAUAUUUCAUCUUCCAGAUUCAUGUUCAUGUCCCUGAAGGUUUAACAGCAGUCUGCCUCUUUUCAUUCUCUCUUCUCCUUGUAGAUGAUGGUACGUGUGUCCAUGACUCUGAACUCUGAUGACCACUUACACAUACAUGAACCACAGUUAGUUAUCUUCAAACUUCUCCAAGCUCUCCAUCCUCUAUAUCCAACUUAUUAUGUGAAAAACAUUAAAUAUUUCCCAAGACCUUACAAUCUCUGAUAAACUUCAACAAACCUGGCCGCCUUCUAUCCUAUUCUGGUUGACUUGAGUCAUUUUAAUCAGAAUCCUAGGAUUCAUUCUCUGCACUGUUGCCUCUCUUCUUCCACAUAUUAAUUCUUCAUUGUGACACCCUGCCAUCCUAGUACUCUAAAUAUCUUUUAAGCUCCUCUUUUUUCCAUUUGAGUCAUCACAAUCCUAAACAAAAUUAUCAUCUUGCCUGUAUCAUACCUGUAGCCCCAUAAAAGCCUAAUUGAUAUGCACAGAUUCAUUCUGGUCUUACUCAUAUUCAUUAUCCGUUUACAUUACAUUUGAAUUUUCAUUUUACAUAAAUAUACCAAUCUCCCAGUUUAAAAUGCUACAAUUGCCUUACAAUGGAAAAACAUUGCUUUCACUAAGGAAAGAAAAACAACUCCUUACUACCACUCCCCUUCUUGCCUCUGUAACAUUAUGUGACACUAAUUUUCCUCUUUGCUCUAAUUUGCUCCAAUUUCUUUUACCUGACAUGCAUCACUCAACAAGAGGUAUUUCCACAUCCUCUAGCCUCUGAUUAGAAUUUCCUUUACAAUUGUCCUUGCGCAGUAUACAAAUUAGGAAGCUGUUUGCCUAGUGCAUCAAUAAUAAUUAUUCUCUGCCACUUUUCUCAGUUUUAUCAUAUCCAAAUAAAAUAGGAUCUUAAUAUUGCCAACCUUUACAUCAGGUUACCUUUGCUUUACCCCAAAUGUGGAAAAAAAUGAAUACAUAAUACUACAGCUUAAAUUUUCCAAAUUAAAAUGCAGAAAAGGAUUACUUCACAGUAGUUGUUACAUGUAAAAUGACUAUUAUAGUAACACACAACCACUUAGAAAAAUAUGACGAGCUAAAAGGUCACCUUUGCAUAUCACUUCUGCAGAGCAAGCUGCUUAAACAAAAAUUAUUGCAUAUCCUACAUUUUUAUUCAUGAAUUUCUCUCAGUUAAGAGGGAAAAUAUUUUUACAGGGCAAAUAUGUUCAAUUUGAAAAUAUAGAAUAUGAGUGUUUUGGACUGAAUGUUUAUGCUUCCCCCGUCCAGUUCAUUAUGUUGAAAUUCUAAUCACAGGUGUGAUAGGGUGGAGCCCUCAUGAAAAAGAUUAGUUCCCUUACAAAAGGAACCCCAGAAAGACCCAGAAGAAGGCUAUCACCUGAACUCAGCCAUGCUGGCAUCGUGAUUUUGAACUUCCAGUCUCCAAAACUGUGAGAAACACAUUUCUGUUGUUUAUAAACUGUCCAAUCUAUGGUACUUUGUUAAAGCAGCCUGAACUGAUUAAGACAAUGGGAAAACCUAAAAAUAAAAGUGAUACUUAUGUUUAUUGAUCUGGUGGUUAGAAAUUUGAAAAUAAAAGAAAUAUGUGACACUAAUGAAAAGAAUACCAUACAAAAUGACAAGAUUUUCAGUAAUCAUUUCAAAUGCUUUAAAGCAGUUGCAGUCUAGAUAAAAUAUUUUUAAUUUCCUUAGUGGAAAGUAUCUGACAAAUAGCUCUUUUGAUUAUAAUGCAAGAGCUUGACCUUAAGUUCUUCAAUGCCUUUAGGUGCCCACUUCAGAGACACCUAUCUUGAAUAAAGACACUGCCAGCUAUACAACUAGACAAAGAGCCAGCUGUCCCACCCAUGAAGUUCCCCUUUUAGAAACCCUGGGUGACCUAGAUAACUGAUUACUUGUUUUGCCCUUCCUGAAUGUUAAUUCCUUCUCUUAUGUUACAUUCACCAGUGAACAGUGAACCCCAGAAACCCUAGGUACCCCUACCUCAACCCUAACAAAGGCAGAGCCCUUGGUCCAGGCUCUCUCUCUCUCUACCCAAGACCUCUCUGUUUGACCCUUGGACAUACAAAUUCAUGACUUGUAAUGAACCUUGAUUUUUCAUAGUUCGCCGAUGGUUGUUGCUAUGGUGAACCUUGUAGUCACAAUAACAGCUAGUCCAGCCAUGAUGUGGGCUCUGGUGGUCUGUGGGGGUAGUGUAUCAUGAAUAUGAGCCCAGGUGGGUUCACCCAGGCAUCUCUAGCUGACAGCAUCACUAUCUAGCUUGGGACUAUACAAAACCAUUUCUCUUGGUGAAAUAGUAAAUUCAUUAGACCACAUGUGUAUUAUUGAAAUAACUUACAAUGUUUUAAGAGUCGCAAUUAUAAUUCAGGUAGGAAUUUCCAUAUAUAAGCAUUGCUUUUUGUUUUAUCUUCAUUUAUGUCUAUUAGGUAAGCACUGUCUCUGCUGAAAACAAGAUCUAUGGAUUUUGUGUGGGAGAUUUAAAGAAAUACUUUGUUCAAAUAGAGAAAGUACAAUGUGAAAUUGUAAUCUUUAAUACGUUGUUUCUCUGGAUAUUAAUUUACUGAUGACAGAAUACAUUGUAUUAAAACAUACACACAUGUAUAUAUAUUUAGAUUAUGAAACACUGUAGUCAUAUUUUGUAUAAAAAAUAAAUCUAUUUUUUCCCAAACAGCUAAUAUCAUCAGCUAAAAAACAAAAAGCACCAGACAAAGAUGGGUUUACAAAUGAAUUCUACCACAUAUUUAAGGAAUAAAUUAAAUUGUUUCUCCAAGUUCUUUCAGAAAAUAGAAGCAGAGGGACUAUUCCGUAACUCAUUGUAUAAGUUAGCAUCACCCUAAUUCCGAACCAGAUAAAGAUAUUAUAUAAAAUGCAAACUGUAAACCAAUGUCACUCAUGAACAUUGCUGUAAAUGUCCUCAAUGAAAUAUUAGCAAAUUAAAUCCAAAAAUGUAUGAACUAAUUAUACAUGAUAACUAGAAUUUAUUUCAAGUAUAUAACACUAUUUCAACACUCUAAAACCUAUUAAUAAAAUUCAUCACACUAGCAGCUAAAGAAUAAAAAUGUUAUGAUCUGGAGUUCCCAUUGUGGCUCAGCCAUAAUGAACCUGAAUAGUAUCCAUGAGGAUGUGGGUUCAAUCCCUGGCCCGCUCAGUGGGUUAAGGAUCCGGUGUUGCCAUGAGCUGUGGUAUAGGUCACUGAUGAGGCUCGGAUGCUGUGUUCCUAUAGCUGAGGCACAGGCUAGCAGCUGCAGCUCCAAUUAGACCCCUAGCCUGAGAACUUCCAUAUACUGUACCUACAGC
rnacentral:lncRNA from 1 species